ACAACUGACUCUUCUCUAGAGGAUUUGAACUGGAGGAGGCUUGAAGUUGAACAAUGGAACUCUCAGUACCAACUUCCCUUUACAGUCUGAUCUCAGAAGUCUGACAGCCAGUUGUAUUCCUGCAGACCCUCUACCUUCACCUGUACUGAGGUUGUCCCACAUGGCAGUUUCAGGCGAAAUUCUUCUGGAGAUGACAAAGGGCAGGAAGGCGCUUCAGGCCUGCCUAUUCUCUGAGAAACACAAUAUUAAAAUUAGGACAAUUAAUAACCCUACAAUUGCCUCCAUGUGUUCAAGUGAAAGGAAUAUGUUUGCUGACCGCUGGCACAGAGGAAGGAGGGGUCAACUCUGAGGGAACAGGAAGGCUGCCAGAGGGUGCUGUGUCUGAACUGUGUUUAGGAGGUUGAAGAAGGC